AGUUAUUAGUACUCGUGUUUCAUCGCUUUCAAUACCAGACAAUAGAAAAAUCUCAGCCGUUGUGCACUUCUUAAAUCAAAUUCUCGCUUCUCUUCUUCUCCAUAAAAGUCGCAGAAGAAAAGCAAACAGAGCAGCAAACAAACAGGCACUUGUCGCGCUCCUUCUUUGCAUGACUUUUGACACACCACCGCCCGGCGUGAGGAAGCCAUUGCCAGUCCCUCUUCAACGCGUACCUGCGGCACACACAGCGCAAUGCCUAGAGUGCUGAGCAAAUCAGCGAGCACAAAACAAAAGCCCCCAUGAAUGGCAGUUUGAGGGCUGUUCAUUUGCUCGCCAAAAUGGAGCUCCUGCUGGUUGGCAGGUAAACACGCUGCCUCGAUGGGCAUCGCAGAUCAAUUCGAUUGCUGCUCUUGUGUGUUUUUCCCCUUGGCACAUUGCGUGGGGUGGCACCUGUUCAUUUGAUUAAAUGAAUAUCAAGGCGGGAGAAAGAGGACACCAUCUGGCUUUCAGGCAACUGCAAUAAAGAAAAACAGCUGGCACAAUGGCACAUAACUAACGAUUUUUUCUUUUUUUUUUUAUAUCAGAAGACUAAGGAAUCAUGCCCAUAACUCUGCACAAAUUGCCAAACAGAAGCUGGAGCUGAAGGUCAUGGAGCAACCGACAAGACACGCCCUCCCAUUUAUACGUCUUGCUGUCAAAUUUAUUGUGUCAUCAAAUCCUUUGCAAGUACAUCUUUCUGUGCUCAACCCUUUUGCUUUGUUUUAGGCAAGUGCAAAAAGGUCAGCAGUCAAAUUAUGGACACCCAGGCCUUGUCAAUGGCCGAGACGUGGACCGGCGGCCGAGGGUUGAAUGCCCGCCAGUGCAUCCAAAAUCCGCAGCCACGGAUGGGCCAUAACAUACGUAAAUCCGUAUUGGGCCACAAUUAAACACUUGGAUUCUGGGCACGACUCUGACUCUGUAUCCCCAGGGGCACGAAUCCUACCCGUACUUAGACACAUUUGCAUCCAUUUACGGCUCUUUUUAUUUCGACGGCCAUUAAAAUGUUUAAUUAGCGCUUCGCAGAUAAUUCUGGCAAAUGUUUUCCAUGUUCCAUGUGCUCCACAUGGCAUCGUUUGGCAUCCGAUUUCUAAUUCCAGGAAUACGAGCGGAGCAGAGCAGAGCAGAGCAGCGCAGCGCAGAGAGUUUUAACUUUAAAUUGGAUUAUUUGCAGCCCUUUGGGAGGCAGGUUUAUGAUAACCGUAACACGAAUUGUAAAGGGAAUUUGUAGAGAGUUCUUUCAGCCAGAGCUAGAUGUUCGGGGGGUGCACAAAUUGUUAGGGAAAAUUGUGAAUUCGAUCGCCAAUUUGUUUUCUACUUUAAAGAAAUCGAAAUAAAGUCCUCGUCAGCGUCAGCAUUUGACACUAACAAACGUACCUGUCUGUGGCUACUGCGCCCACAAAGUGUCCUGCCGUGUCCCUUCUGAUUGGAUUGAAAUUGAAACCGGGCAGCACCCUUGGGAAUUGCGUUACAGGAAACAACCGAGACCGAGACCGAGACCGAGUCCAAGUCCAAGUCCGUGCUGAUUGAUUGACAAUAGAAUGAUUUGCCUGUAAUUGCUGCUACGAACAAUGACAUGGGAUUGGCACAAGAAAGAAAAAUGAUAAGGAUG
rnacentral:lncRNA from 1 species